AUUGAACGCUGGCGGCAUGCUUUACACAUGCAAGUCGAACGGCAGCACGGGGGCGAACCCUGGUGGCGAGUGGCGAACGGGUGAGUAAUACAUAGGAACGUAUCCUGAAAUGGGGGAGUAGCUCGGCGAAAGACCGGAUUAAUACCGCAUACGAUCCACGGAUGAAAGACAGGGGAUUCGCAAGAACCUUGCGUUUCUGGAGCGGCCUAUGUCUGAUUAGCUAGUUGGCGGGGUAAAAGGACCCACCCAAGGCGACGAUCAGUAGCUGGUCUGAGAGGAUGAUCAGCCACACUGGGACUGAGACACGGCCC
rnacentral:rRNA from 1 species